UUAGACAGAGGGGAGAGGGUCUGAGUGGGUUACUCUUCGGAGGGUUGGUGGGGACUGGUUGGGCCAGCCCCUUCCUUUGGGACCUGGGUCUCUCCUGUUCAGAAGGGGAGAGAGCUGGUAAUCAUUUUGAAAUAAAAAAUGGCUCGAAAUGGUUAGAGAAUGAGAGGAUCUGAGGCGUGUGCAGAGAACAAGGGCAGUGGGAGAGUUAAGUGUUUGUGACCGUGGGGGUGGAAUGGAAUUCAUUUUCAUGUUAAUCAGUUGGGAGGUCAGGCAUAAGGAAUGUCAGAAAAAGGGGGAGCAGCAGGUGUAAGGAGCUUUGGAAACUGGGAGUAGUGGUGCAAGGAGCAUCAUAACGGUGAAGUAAUAGAGUAAGGAACUUCGGAAGGUGGAAGCAACAGAUUUAAGGAAUGUCAGAAAAGGGGGAGCAGCAGGUGUAAGGAGUUUCGGAAACUGGGAGUAAUAGUGUAACGAACGUCGGAAACUGGGAUUAAAGGUGUAAGGAGGCUUGGAAACCGGGAGUAAUGGCAUAAGGGACGUCGGAAAUUGGGAGUAAUGGCUUAAGGAGCUUUGGGAACUGGGAGUAAUGGCGUAAGGAGUGUCGGAAAUUGGGAGUAAUGGCGUAAGGAGUGUCGGAAACUGUGAGUAACGGCGGGAGGCGGGAAGCGGGAGUUGAGGCGCGAGGAGCGGCGGGCAGGCGCCAUGGAGGAGAAGCACCGCCGUAUCCUGAGGAGUUUGCGCCUGGAGCUGGCCGAGCAGCUCAGGGUCGAGCUGGUGGUUCAGUUCCUGUACCAGGAGCGGGUACUGAGCCAGAGUUUCCUGGAGGAGAUCCAGGCGGAGCCGGUCAGUAUCCGCCGCGGCCUCAUGCUCCUGGACCAUCUCCCGAGCCGCGGGCCUCGGGCCUUCGCCGCCUUCGCGCUCUCUCUCCGGGAAGAGUUUCCGUGGCUCCACCGGCGGCUGGAGGAGGAAGAGCGGGCGGAGGAGGAGAGGGAGGCCGGAGAGGAAGAUGAAUCACGGCCACCUAUUUCAGACCACAUCUUGAACAGCGUACCUACCGAUAAGCAGUUAAACCAACUUUCCAGCCACCUGGGACCAGAAUGGGAGCGAGUGAUGGUGGAUCUUGGACUAAAAGAGCCAGAUCUUUAUCGAUGUAAAAUGAACCACCUACAUAACCUCCAAGCGCAGAUCUUGGCCGCCUUUAUCCUGUGGAAAAAGCGCUUCGGGAAACAAGCGACUGUGCAGCAUUUGACCAACAGUCUGAUUUUAGCUGACACAGACCCUGGAUUAAUAGUUAAAAUAUUUCAGGAUGACCAUUGACCAUCUAAACAUUCAAAAUCGCAUGGUGCCUUGUGCAGUUGGUGUCCAAUCUGAAUUGUAGAGACACCGCGAGGAGACAGUUCCUCCUUCUACCUAUCAAAUGGAAUAACCUUGAAAAGUUCAUCAGCUGCUUUCUUGGAAAUCACUGCAAGGCUGGCUGUUCCCCAGAUACCUCGAGAUAUGGGACUGGAAUUCUGCCUGGAAAUGGAUUACUGAUUGCACACGCAGAAGUUGGAUAACCUAAUUGCUUUCCCCUUUGAUAAUCUGCUGGAAUGCAUCAAAUUUAAGAAAGUGGACGCGGAACAAUCCGUUUGUGUAUUUUAUACUCUGUAUAAACUGUGACUCUGAAAGACUUCAUUUGGCCCAACUGGUCUGCGCUGUGAUGGAAACAAAAUGAUGAGCAGGUCUGGCAGAAUCUGUGGGGAGAGAGACAGUUAACUUAUUCAGGUUGUUGACCUUUGAUUAGAACAGUCUAUGUGGUGUUUAUACCUCAUAGGAGCCUCCUCUUCCUCUAUUUAGUUUAUCUUGCCAAUAAAAGUGUAAUCCUCCUAAUCUUAUUUUUUUCUCCCUUGUGCACUUUCCUUAAUUUAAUUUGUACUAUUGACCUUAUCUGUUCCAUUUGAUGGCAAGUUCCACAUUCUCGCUGCUUCUCUGGGCAGAGGAAAUUUUAAAAGUUGCACAGAAAUCAUGGACUGAGCUUAACCAAGCUUGGAUCCAAUCACACUGAAUGGGAAACAUUGUGAUAAAUUGUGGGGGAGCACAAACCCAGUGAGAGAUUCUUGCCAAGAUUUCUUCAUGUCUCCUAGUUCAACUGAACUUCUCAAAAUGGAGUUUGGAUUAGGGAUAUGGAUCAAUCAUUGGUGAAUGAUGUUAGGGUAUACACUGAAUUGAGGGCUAAAUGAUGUUGGACAAAGUGUAACAUAGAUUUCCCAGAAAGACAUCAAGUAUGAAUCUUAAAGUGACAGUGUAGAGUAGCCUUUCACUCCGUCAUCGUCCUGGAGUUGGCAUUGACCAGAAACUGAAGUGAACUAGCCAUGUAAAUAUGGUGGUUACAACUGCGGGUCAAAGGCUGCAAAUUCUGUGACCCCAAACUCAGUUCACCAUCUGCAAGGCACAAGUCACAAGUGUGAUAGAAUACUCUCCAAUUGCAUGGAUGAGUGCAGUCUUCACACAUCCAGGACAAAGUAGCCUGCUUGAUUAGCACCACAUUUAAGACAUUAAGCAUUCUCUUCCUCCAUUGUGGCAGCAGUGUGUACCAUCUACAAGGUACUUUGUGGCAAUUUAUCAAUGACUCCAACAGAACGUUCAGAAUCCACAAUGUCUACCAUCCAAGAGGGCAGAGCUUGCAGAUGCAUGGGAACACCACCACCUAUAUAUUAUUCCCUGAGUCACACAUUAUCCUAACGUGGAACAAUCGUUCCUCAACAGAGUCAAAACCUUAGGCAUGGAUUUCUAAGAGGAAUACUCGCAUCAGAUGGACUUGGGUGUAUGCAUGCAACUCAACUCACCUUGAGUAAAUAGUGAUGGACAUCAAAUGCUGAUCUUACAAGUGACACUUUAUGACCCAUGAAUGAAUUUUAAAAAAUGAUUCUGAAUCUGAACCAGAAUCCUGGUUUCUAAUUGUGUGUUGCACACUCAAACCUAUUCUCCACCUGCUAACUAUCUUGAACUCAAUAAGAUCGAUGAUUAAAGAUUCAAGGGUAGAAUAUUUUAGAAUGGUGAUAGCCUUGGCUUCUCUAAUAGAGAAAGGGGUAGCAGAUGAUCAACUCGAGCUAUAGUUUGAGCUAUGUAUACUUGGCCUCCAGCACCUCUCUGGGAAAUGUGUAUUGCAGAUAGAAUCCCAACACAGUGUGGAAAGAAGUCAUUCAGCCCAUCAAGUCUACACUGAGCCUCCAAAGAAUGUUCCACCCAGAUCCAGCCCUCACCCAAUCCCCAUAGCAUUUAUCAUGGCUAAUCCAUCUAGCCUGCAUGUCUCUAGUCACUGCACACAGUUUAGUAUGGCCAACCCAUCUAACCAGCUCAUCUUUGUGGGAGGAAGCUGGAGUAUCCUGCAGAAACGGAGAAUGUGCAAACUCCACGCCGUCACCCAAGGCUGGGAUCAAACCUGGGUCCCGGGCUCUGUGAGGGUCCCACACGCGCAGUGUGAUGACGGAGCCUUCAGACAUUCUCAACUAGCUUUGUAAGGAUGGAUUUAUGGGUAAUGAUCAGUGUGGACAACCUACAACAUGGCCUUGCAAUAUGGGGGCUGGGACCCCAAGUACAGUGGCAAGCUAGAAAUGUGGUGUUUUAAGCUCUGAGGCUGCAAUGGUUCUUUCUCUGAUAUGACAGGUCAGUGCAACAUUGAGGGCCGAAGGGCCUGUACUGCGCUGUAAUGUUCUUCUCCACCCUACUGUCAUAGGUCAUCUGCUGACUAAGGCGUUGUAACAAUUUUCAAGCCUCAAAAAGAGUCAUAGUGGGAUAAAGUUUAGGAACUACCGGCCUACAACAUUUAUAGAGUUAAAGGUGGUGAUUGGGAUCAAAUACAUCUUUCUUACUGAGCUGGCCCAGAGUUACUGAGCUGAAUGGCCUCCCCUAUUGGAACAUUGUCAAACUCCAAUGCAUAUCACCUGACAUCAUAACUUCACAAAGUAAAUGGUUAUUAAUUGCAUUUCUAUUAGAGAAAAGAGUGCUCCAAUAUUGUACCAAUCUAGUAUUAAAACUUAAAAAGAAAGCUGACAUUUUUGGAGAACCUUUUUAACCUUGAGAUAUUACAAAACUCUUGGGAUGAGGGAUACAUAUUGACCAAUGCACCUUCUCUACAAAGACUGCGAUGGGCUUUUUAAAAAUGGGAGUACAGAUGGGAUCUAGGUUUCAUGAAUCACAGCAUCUUUUGCUAAAGCUGUAGAUGAGGAUAUCUUUCAGUGUGUGAAAUGAUUCUCUUGGUCCUUUAACAUAUUUUUGGUAAAUUGGGUGACUCAUCUGGAACAAACAGACGUGCAAAUUUGUUUAUUUAAUUGCCAUGCCACACCAAACACACCCAAAUCUUUGCCCUUUAGUUCAUAGUAAAAUGUGGAAAAACAUGCAUCUAAGGGCUGACUCACAGAAGACGGAAAGAAUAUUUGAGGUUUGUCCUCAUCUCCCUGUAAAAUGGUUGAACGGUAGGGUUUGCGGCCUAGCUU